CCAGAUACACUAUGCUGAGGCUGAGGAUCAGAUACACUAUGCUGAGGCUGAGGAUCAGAUACGCUAUGCUGAGGACCAGAUACACUAUGCUGAGGCUGAGGACCAGAUACACUAUGCUGAGGACCAGAUACACUAUGCUGAGGCUGAGGAUCAGAUACAUCUCCUUCCUGUCUUCAGGGCAA
rnacentral:antisense_RNA from 1 species